rnacentral:rRNA from 1 species
AACGAACGCUGGCGGCAGGCCUAACACAUGCAAGUCGAGCGCCCAGCAAUGGGAGCGGCAGACGGGUGAGUAACGCGUGGGAACCUUCCCGAUAGUACGGAAUAGCCCAGGGAAACUUGGAGUAAUACCGUAUACGCCCGUAAGGGGAAAGAUUUAUCGCUAUCGGAUGGGCCCGCGUAGGAUUAGCUAGUUGGUGAGGUAAUGGCUCACCAAGGCGACGAUCCUUAGCUGGUUUGAGAGAAUGACCAGCCACACUGGGACUGAGACACGGCCCAGACUCCUACGGGAGGCAGCAGUGGGGAAUCUUGGACAAUGGGCGCAAGCCUGAUCCAGCCAUGCCGCGUGAGUGACGAAGGUCUUCGGAUUGUAAAGCUCUUUUGCCAGGGACGAUAAUGACGGUACCUGGAGAAUAAGCCCCGGCUAACUUCGUGCCAGCCGCCGCCGUAAAAC